CAAAAGGUAUUUUAAUAUUAAAAUAAUAGUUUUGGGUACUAUAGAAGGGGUAUCUUCCUUUUGA
rnacentral:tRNA from 1 species